rnacentral:sRNA from 1 species
CCCUAGCCCUGAUGGAAUUGGCAUCCUUUUGUGCCGGGGUUCGGCACAAAAGAUAUAGCGGACAGCAGGAAACAGC